CUGGUCCAUACUGGGUGACACUGGGAGGUCACUGGUCCAUACUGGGUGACACUGGGAGGUCACUGGUCCAUACUGGUCCAUACUGGGAGUCACUGGGAGGUCACUGGUGCAUACUGG